rnacentral:ncRNA from 2 species
CUCUUAUCCCGAGAUGGUGGAGGGACAGGCCCUAUGAAACCCAGCAACCUGCUCCAUGAUGAAAAUAUAGACAUCUUGAGCAAAGGUGCUAACCUGAGGCAAGGAUAAGGUCCUUGAACGAUAAGAG